GGGGAGUGCGGUCGCAAGAUUAAAACUCAAAGGAAUUGACGGGGACCCGCACAAGCGGUGGAUGAUGUGGAUUAAUUCGAUGCAACGCGAAAAACCUUACCUACCCUUGACAUGGUCGGAAUCCUGCUGAGAGGUGGGAGUGCUCGAAAGAGAACCGGCGCACAGGUGCUGCAUGGCUGUCGUCAGCUCGUGUCGUGAGAUGUUGGGUUAAGUCCCGCAACGAGCGCAACCCUUGUCCUUAGUUGCUACGCAAGAGCACUCUAAGGAGACUGCCGGUGACAAACCGGAGGAAGGUGGGGAUGACGUCAAGUCCUCAUGGCCCUUAUGGGUAGGGCUUCACACGUCAUACAAGGGUCCGAACAGAGGGAGGCCAACCCGCGAGGGGGAGCUAAUCCCAGAAAACCGAUCGUAAUCCGGAU
rnacentral:rRNA from 1 species